rfam:Picea glauca, whole genome shotgun sequence.
AUGUACAUCCCUACAACAUAGCGUUAAUGCAUCAGAUCCCAUUAGAACUCUGCAGUUAAGUGCGCUCUAGCUAGAGUAGUACUGGGAUGCGUGACCACCAGGGAAGUACUAGCAUUUUACAUG